UUGGAGUUUACUCCUUUAGAAUCGAUUUACAUAUAUAGGCCCGGGGUAUGAAAAUUAUGGGGACCAAAAUCGUACUAGCAUGUCACACGAAAUGCGUUAUGCGCCUGAUUGCGCAUGUCACACGAAAUGCGUUAUCGCAGGUGACGCCGGGCUGCUGCGCCGGCAGUCCGCCACAAAGCCUCGUACUGAUCGCGCGUUUCUCUCAUUAUUGUAUUUUCAUAUAUUUGUUAGUCGUUUGUUUUGUGUCUCGUUAAUUUGUUAAUAAUCUGUAGUGUAUCGUGUUGUCGUAAUAUAGAACUAUUUCUCGUA